UACAGAGGCCCCAAGCGUUACUGAGAAUCACUGGGUUUAAAGGGUGCGUAGGUGGUCCGUUAAGUCCAUUGUGAAAUCCCCGGGCUCAACCCGGGAACUGCUUUGGAUACUGGCGGACUUGAGGCCGGUAGGGGUCACUGGAACUGACGGUGGAGCGGUGAAAUGCGUAGAUAUCGUCAGGAACGCCUGUGGUGAAGACGGGUGACUGGGCCGGAUCUGACACUGAGGCACGAAAGCGUGGGGAGCAAACGGG
rnacentral:rRNA from 1 species